ensembl:rRNA 5S_rRNA 5S ribosomal RNA
GCUUACGGCCAUACCACUCUGAAAAGCCUGAUCUCAUCUGAACUCGGAAGCAAAGCAGAGUUGGGCCUGGUUAGUACUCGGUUGGGAGACUGAAUGGGAAUACUAGGUGCUGUAAGCU